UACAGAGGUCUCAAGCGUUUGUUCGGAUUCAUUGGGCGUAAAGGGUGCGUAGGUGGUGAUGCAAGUCUGGUGUGAAAUCUCGGAGCUCAACUCCGAAAUUGCACCGGAUACUGCGUGACUCGAGGACUGUAGAGGAGAUCGGAAUUCACGGUGUAGCAGUGAAAUGCGUAGAUAUCGUGAGGAAGACCAGUUGCGAAGGCGGAUCUCUGGGCAGUUCCUGACACUGAGGCACGAAGGCCAGGGGAGCAAACGGG
rnacentral:rRNA from 1 species